rnacentral:rRNA from 1 species
CUACGGGGUGCUCCAGCAGGGAAUAUUGCACAAUGGACGGAAGUCUGAUGCAGCGACGCCGCGUGGAUGAUGAAGGCCCUCGGGUUGUAAAAUCCUCUUCAGGGGGACGAGGAAGGACGGUACCCUUGGAAUAAGCGUCGGCUAACUACGUGCCAGCAGCCGCGGUAAGACGUAGGACGCAAGCGUUAUCCGGAUUUACUGGGCGUAAAGCGUCUGUAGGCGGAAUGGUAAGUUGGACGUGAAAGCUCCGGGCUCAACCCGGAGAGGUCGUUCAAUACUGCCAAACUAGAGGGCAUCAGAGGAGCGUGGAAUUUCCGGUGUAGCGGUAAAAUGCGCAGAUAUCGGAAGGAACACCAAUGGCGAAGGCAGCGCUCUGGGAUGAACCUGACGCUAAGAGACGAAAGCUAGGGGAGCGAACAGGAUUAGAUACCCCUGUAGUC